rnacentral:misc_RNA from 1 species
CCGUAAGAUAACUAGGGUUUUAGAGACUGCGUUAAAAUACGUGUGCUCGGCCCUUCCUUCUUUAAUCCAUAUACACCUCUGUGCACUAUGGGGACGCAAGUCCUCCAUUUAUAAAAACCAAGUUAAAUGCAUGUUUUUGUUGAUACUCUAUGGAGUUAUAUA